rnacentral:rRNA from 1 species
AGAGUUUGAUCCUGGCUCAGGACGAACGCUGGCGGCGUGCUUAACACAUGCAAGUCGAGCGGAAAGGCCCCUUCGGGGGUACUCGAGCGGCGAACGGGUGAGUAACACGUGAGUAACCUGCCCUCGACUCUGGGAUAAGCCUGGGAAACUGGGUCUAAUACCGGAUAUUCACCUCCUGUCGCAUGGUGGGGGGUGGAAAGUUCCCUCUUUUUGGGGGUUCGGUCGGGGAUGGGCUCGCGGCCUAUCAGCUUGUUGGUGGGGUGACGGCCUACCAAGGCGACGACGGGUAGCCGGCCUGAGAGGGCGACCGGCCACACUGGGACUGAGACACGGCCCAGACUCCUACGGGAGGCAGCAGUGGGAAAUCUUGCGCAAUGGGCGAAAGCCUGACGCAGCGACGCCGCGUGGGGGAUGAAGGCCUUCGGGUUGUAAACCCCUUUCAGCACCGACGAAUGAAGGACGGUAGGUGCAGAAGAAGCGCCGGCUAACUACGUGCCAGCAGCCGCGGUAAUACGUAGGGCGCGAGCGUUGUCCGGAAUUAUUGGGCGUAAAGAGCUCGUAGGCGGCUUGUCGCGUCUGUCGUGAAAGCCCACGGCUUAACCGUGGGUUUGCGGUGGAUACGGGCAGGCUAGAGGCAGGUAGGGGAGCAUGGAAUUCCCGGUGUAGCGGUGAAAUGCGCAGAUAUCGGGAGGAACACCGGUGGCGAAGGCGGUGCUCUGGGCCUGUUCUGACGCUGAGGAGCGAAAGCGUGGGGGAGCGAACAGGAUUAGAUACCCUGAUAGUCCACGCCGUAAACGUUGGGCGCUAGGUGUGGGGUUCUUCCACGGAUUCCGCGCCGUAGCUAACGCAUUAAGCGCCCCGCCUGGGGAGUACGGCCGCAAGGCUAAAACUCAAAUGAAUUGACGG